UUGCAGAGAUGCAGGGGAAUGGGUAGUUUUGGGGUAGCGCAAGUGAACUGAACAUAACUUCUGGGUUAGUGUGGCCUAAACUGCUAUUCUUUAAAUGCACCUAACUUUAAUGAAAUAUUUGACAUAUUUUUGAGAAAACAGUUACAGUGAAUGUAUGAACGUGUGGCACUCUUCGGAGCUAUUUGGAGUUAUUUUUUCUUACACAUUAUCUAUUCAAAAGGAAAAUGUGGGAGAUUGACCAUGGGAACUGCAGGGAUUCUGGGGCUUAUCUAUCUCCAGCCAAGCCAGACGUGUCCUGAUCUUGUCACCAUAAUCCAAUUCCACAUAAUUCAUCUUAAUAUCAGAACUGUCUAGUCUUUUCAAGUAGCUCUGACAAACAUAUGUACCUCAGCUACUCCAUCAACCCAUAGAGGUGAGAGUUAAAACAGGAAUCUAGAGAAAUGCCGACUUAGGCAAAGUCAUUAGACAACUAUUGAAGGGUGGAACAAGUAGAUAAAUCUAGAGGUGCAGAUACAGUAUGUAAAGGGAAGAGGAAUCUCUUUAUGUGGCAGCAAGGACAAAUAAUUACAGAGCUGUGGAGCAGCUAAGCAGAGUUUGUUUCAGCAUUGUGGUGGUUCAUGGGACUCACUCCGUCAGACAGCCAUCAUGUUUAUUCUCAUAGAUAUACACAGAGAGAGGGAGAAGGGUGGGACUGGGUCAUCUGACGUGUCAGAUCGGGGUCAGCUCGCUGUUUAUGAUAUCACUUACUGUAGUAGUGAUAUCACUAACAAGCUUCAUUAUAGAAAGGCAAACUGAAUAGACAUUUGACUUUUCAUCACUAUCUACUUAGCUAAAUACACUAUCAGGGCGGUCGGUAGCCUAACGGUUAAGAGUGUUGGGCCAGUACCCGAAAGGUCGCUGGUUUGAAUCUCCGAGCCGACUAGGUGAAAAAUCUGUUGAUGUGUCCUUGAGCAAGGCACUUAACCAUAGUUGCUCCUGUUAAGUCGCUCUGGAUAAGAGUGUCUGCUAAUUGAAUUUAAAAAAUGAUUGUACGGUCCUAGUUCUGCACUCUGUCAUGUUUGCAUUUUAUUUUCCAUGUUCAAAUACCACGGCAAGUCACUGUGGUUUGAGGUAAGAGCAGGGGCCUGGACUAGAGCAUGGGAAGUGUUGAGUAUAUGGCAUGAAGAAGCACUUGAGUAGAGAAUUAGUGUGCGUUAAAUGUGCAUGUUCAGCUAUCGUGUGAGUGGACACGUCAGCAUAGCAUAGUAGACUUCAUAGCAGCUGGUGCUAGGUCACAUGUACUGUAUGUGUUCUCUACCUCUCUCCCCACCAAGGGAGACAUUUUGGUAACAGAUUGUAUGAGCAACAUUAUGUGUAUAAUGUAUUUAAUGUGCUUUCUGUCACUCACAGUGUAUUGGAAGUGUUGCCAUAACCAUUAAAAACAGCUCUAUAUAGCAGCCUUUAUAAAAUGUAUGAAUAUCUAUCAUAAAUGUGAAAUUCAUUAAACUAGCAAUGGUCAUCCAAAUUGUUAAAAGAUUUUAAAAACAAUUCUAAUAAAUGCAAGUUGGACAAUGGAUGAAGAUACUCCAACCUUUUGGAAUUUUUAUAAUUUAUCAGAUAUUAAGUGAUUUAUAGCACAUAACAUUUUCCUACUGUAUUAUUGAUUGUAUGUUUGUUUAUUCCACUCUGUGUUGUUGUAUGUGUCGAACUGCUUUGCUUUAUCUUGGCCAGGUCGCAGUUGCAAAUGAGAACUUGUUCUCAACUAGCCUACCUGGUUAAAUAAAGGUGAAAUAAAUAAAUAAUAAAACUGGCACGGACAAAUAAUGAAUGGAGUUCUUGGAUUUUGGUGGGAAUACAGGUAUUCAAUUUAAUGCCAUAUAUCACUUUUUUUAUGCACUCAUCUACACUCAGUGGCCAGUUUAUUAGGUACACCCAUCUAUACUGAACAAAAAUAUAAAUGAAACAAUUUCAAAUAUUUUACUGAGUUACAGUUCAUGAGGAAAUCAGUCAAUUGAAAUAAAUAAAUUAGGUGCUAAUCCAUGGAUUUCAUAUGAUUGGGAAAACAGAUAUACAUCUGCUGGUCACUGACACCUUAAAAAAAAUUGGCCUCACAAUGGAUCUCAGGAUUUCAUCAAGGUAUUUCUGUGCAUUCAAAUUGCCAUCGAUAAAAUGCAAUUGUGUUUGUUGUCCAUAUCAUAUGCCUGCCCAUACCAUACCCCACCACCUCGGGGCACUCUGUUCACAACGUUGACAUCAGAAAACAACUCGCCCACAUGACGCCAUACACGUGGUCUGCAGUUGUGAGGCCGGUUGGAAGUACUGUCAAAUUCUCUAAAACCACAUUUCAGGCGGCUUAUGGUAGAGAAAUUAACAUUAAAUCCUCUGCCAAUUGCACGCUCCCUCAAAACUUGAGAUAUAUGUGGCAUUAUGUUGUGUGACAAAACUGCACAUUUUAAAAUGGCUUAUUAUUGUCCCCGGGACAAGGGUCACAUAUGUAAUGAAUCAUGCUGUUUAAUCAGCUUCUUGAUAUGCCACACCUGUCAGGUGGAUGGAUUAUCUUGGCAAUGGAGAAAUGCUCACUAACAGGGAUAUGAACAAAUUUGUGCAAAAAAAAUUGAGAGAAAUGCAUUUAUAUUUUUGUUCAGUGUAGUACUGGGUCGGACCCCCCUUUUCCUCCACAACAGCCCAAAUUAUUUUUGGACUUCUAUAAGGUGUCGGAAACGUUCCACAGGGAUGUUGGUCUAUGCUGACACGAUGGCAUCACACAGUUGCUGCAGAUCGGACGGCGGUACAUUCAUGUUGAGAACAGCCUAUUUCAUCUCAGCCCAAAGAUGCUCUAUUUAGUUGAGGUCUGCAGGCCACUCAAGUAAACUGAACUCACUGUCAUGUUCCAGGCAAUGUUUUUCCGCUCCUCAAUUGUCCAGUGUUGGUGAUUGGAUUGAUGAGUUGUGCAGUUCAAGAUGCCGUUCUGCACACCACUUUUGUACAGCGCUGUUAUUUGUCAGUUUGUGAACCACCUGUUAGCUUGCACGAUUCUUGCCAUUCUCCUUCGACCUCUCAACAAGCUGUUUUUGUUGUCCACAGGGCUGCUGCAGACUAGAUGUUUUUUUGCUUGUCGCACCAUUCCCGGUUAACCCUAGAUACUGUGGGGUGUAAAAAGCCCAGGAGGCCGGCCAUUUCUGAGAUACCGGACCUGUCGCGCCUGGCAACGACUAUCAUUCCAAGCUCAAAGUCGCUUAGGUAACUCAUUUCGCCCAUUCUAACAUUCAAUCAAACAGUAACUGAAUGCCUCAAUGCCUGUCUGCCUGCCAAGUGACUUACUGUCUGUAGGAGCAAUCCAUAUUUGGGAACGGGGUGAUGUACAUAAUAAACUGGCUGGUGAGUUUAUACAUUUUUACAUUGCAUCAGCUAUUUGUUUUUAUUUUGUGUGUUAAAAUAUGCAUAAUUUGCAUAAAUACAACAUGUGUAUUUGCAUAUAUGAAUAUUAACAUAACAGGGUGGAUCAGGGCUGCAACCACCAAACACCUGCUCUAUCUAUCCUACCAGCACUCACCUGCUCCAUCUAACCUACCAGCACUCACCUGCUCCGUCUAACCUACCAGCACUCACCUGCUCCGUCUAACCUACCAGCACUCACCUGCUCCGUCUAACCUACCAGCACUCACCUGCUCCGUCUAACCUACCAGCACUCACCUGCUCCGUCUAACCUACCAGCACUCACCUGCUCCGUCUAACCUACCAGCACUCACCUGCUCCGUCUAACCUACCAGCACUCACCUGCUCCAACUAACCUACCAGCACUCACCUGCUCCAACUAACCUACCAGCACUCACCUGCUCCAACUAACCUACCAGCACUCACCUGCUCCGUCUAACCUACCAGCACUCACCUGCUCCGUCUAACCUACCAGCACUCACCUGCUCCGUCUAACCUACCAGCACUCACCUGCUCCGUCUAACCUACCAGCACUCACCUGCUCCAUCUAACCUACCAGCACUCACCUGCUCCAACUAACCUACCAGCACUCACCUGCUCCAUCUAACCUACCAGCACUCACCUGCUCCAACUAACCUACCAGCACUCACCUGCUCCAUCUAACCUACCAGCACUCACCUGCUCCAACUAACCUACCAACACCUACCUGCGCUGUCUAAACUGCCUCAUUAAUUACUGUUGUUGUCAUGUUCUCUUUCAUAAUUCAACAAGUGUGUCUGUUAGAGACAAUUUCGACAUAUUUGUAUACAGAACAUACAGAGCUCCAUGUACGUGUGUAAAUAUAUUAAAUAUGAAUGUAUAUGAUGAAAUAUUAGGUACGUACCUUUAUGAUUUAUAUAUUUACCUGAUUGAGAUAUAUUCCUUUGUUUUUGCAAAAUUUUGUUUGUCUCCACCUCUUGUCCACUCAUUGUACUGUGGUAAGUGUGUUAGUGAUGAGAUAAAGGCAGGAGGUUGGGACUUUGGUGGGGAGUGUCCUAGCUAGACGCGGGAGCAGUAUAGUCUUUUGGCUAUACAUGCAUAUGCAUGCAUACAAACAGGCCAUAUUAUGUAUUUUUCAUGUCAAGUAAUCGAGACUUUAAAUUGAUAGGAUAAUCAUUUUUUUGAUGUUAGAUUUAAGAAGAAUAAACCUUUUUGUUGCACCAUAUCCCUGGACCUCAUUGGAUGUUUUUUGCUGUUUGGGAAUUUCGAAUGUGGACUGACUGUAAUGCUUCCCGAAACAACCCCGAUUCAAGGCCAGAGCAGUGGCUGUGUACAAUUGGUAAGGAAGCCACUAGUGUCAAUAGCAGGAUACCCUCGUAUCAACAUGCUUGGUUCUAGAUUACAUCUAUCUAAACAUACAGUACUUUACAUUGUUUGCGAGAUCAAACAUAAUAUCACUAUAAUCCGAGUAUUCAUUUUCGGAAGUUGUUUUCAUUUUAGCGUAUCUAAUUUGUAAAAAUGUCAACUGUUUUAAAUUAUUACUUUGUUAAUUUUUUGUGGAAUUAAAAACCCAUCAAAAUACA